AGUCGAACGGCAGCACGGACUGGUCUGGUGGCGAGUGGCGAACGGGUGAGUAAUGUAUCGGAACGUGCCCUAGUAGCGGGGGAUAACUACGCGAAAGCGUAGCUAAUACCACGCGCCCGCCCUUCGAGAAAGCGGGGGGACCUUCGGGCCUCGCACUAUUGAAGCAGCCGAUAUCGGAUUAGCUAGUUGGUGGGGUAACGGCUCGCAAGGCGACGAUCCGUAGCUGGUUUGAGAGGACGACCAGCCACACUGGGACUGAGACACGGCCCAGACUCCUGCAGGAGGCAGCAGUGGGGAAUUUUGGACAAUGGGGAAACCCUGAUCCAGCCAUCCCGCGUACGAUGAAGGCCUUCGGGUUGUAAAGCACUUUUGGCAGGAAAGAAACGGCACGGGAUAAUACCCCGUGCAACUGACGGUACCUGCAGAAUAAGCACCGGCUAACUACGUGCCAGCAGCCGCGGUAAUACGUAGGGUGCAGGCGUUAAUCGGAAUUACUGGGCGUAAAGCGUGCGCAGGCGGUUCGGAAGAAAGAUGUGAGAUCCCAGAGCUUAACUUUGGAACUGCAUUUUUAACUACCGAGCUAGAGUGUGUCAGAGAGGUGGAAUUCGCGUGUAGCAGUGAAAUGCGUAGAUAUGCCGGAGGAACACCGAUGGCGAAGGCAACCUCCUGGGAUAACUGACGCUCAUGCGCGAAAGCGUGGGGAGCAAACAAGUUAAGAUACCCUGGUAAUCCACGCCCUAAACGAUGUCAACUAGCUGUUGGGGCCUUCGGGCCUUGGUAGCGCAACUAACGCGUGAAGUUGACCGCCUGGGAAGUACGGUCGCAAGAUUAAAACUCAAAGGUCGGCUGAGACCCGCACAAGCGGUGGAUGAUGUGGAUUAAUUCGAUGCAACGCGAAAAACCUUACCUACCCUUGACAUGUCUGGAAUCCCGAAGAGAUUUGGGAGUGCUCGCAAGAGAACCGGAACACAGGUGCUGCAUGGCUGUCGUCAGCUCGUGUCGUGAGAUGUUGGGUUAAGUCCCGCAACGAGCGCAACCCUUGUCAUUAGUUGCUACGAAGGGCACUCUAAUGAGACUGCCGGUGACAAACCGGAGGAAGGUGGGGAUGACGUCAAGUCCUCAUGGCCCUUAUGGGUAGGGCUUCACACGUCAUACAAUGGUCGGGACAGAGGGUCGCCAACCCGCGAGGGAGGCAAUCCCAGAAACCCGAUCGUAGUCCGGAUCGCAGUCUACCGCUCGACUGCGUGAAGUCGGAAUCGCUAGUAAUCGCGGAUCAGCAUGUCGCGGUGAAUACGUUCCCGGGUCUUGUACACACCGCCCGUCACACCAUGGGAGUGGGUUUUACCAGAAGUAGUUAGCCUAACCGUAAGGAGGGCGAUUACCACGGUAGGAUUCAUGACUGGGGUGAAGUCGUAACAAGGUA
rnacentral:rRNA from 1 species